rnacentral:rRNA from 1 species
UACGAGGGGGUCCUAGCGUUGUUCGGAAUCACUGGGUUUAAAGGGUGCGUAGGCGGGCAGGUAAGUCCGUGGUGAAAUCUCUGAGCUUAACUCAGAAACUGCCAUGGAUACUAUUUGUCUUGAAUAUUGUGGAGGUAAGCGGAAUAUGUCAUGUAGCGGUGAAAUGCUUAGAUAUGACAUAGAACACCCGUGGCGAAGGCGGCUCUCUGGUACGUGACUGACGCUGAGACGCGAAAGCGUGGGGAGCAAACAGG